UCCUUAUGGGGGACCAACCUUGUGUAUCCGGGAGAUCCACGCUCCCAACUGGAGACACACGGGAAAUCAAGCCUCCAAAAAAGCGCUGCCUCCUAGCUCCACGAUGGGAUUAUCCAGAAGGAACCCCGAACGGAGUCUUUGAGGGAUUGCAGUAUGACUCCAUUUCCUUGGUGCAUUCAUAAAAUAGUUCAUCUAGUGAAGACAAUGAAGAUUGUUGGAAAUGCUACGCUACGUUUUCUGAUAUCCUGCACUGGGAAGUUGUGAUUUUUUAAGUAUUAUGAUAUAAUCAGCGUAAUUUCACCUCCUGCAUUUGGAUGAUUUCUGGGACAUGACCAAGGUCAGGCUGUGUACCUCUAAGAUUGAAGGCUAUGGCUUGGAUCAUGGUGAACUCACCAAAGCAAAUAACUCCUGUGAGAUGGUCCUGAAGCAACAGAUCAGUGCUCUCCUUUGGUGACACCUAGUCAUUUCUGUAUAACCUUGACUUCCUAUAAAUCCAUUAUGGUUCCAAUAAAUUUUAUCUCUCA